GGCACACAAACUCUGCCCCCAAUCCUCAAAACUCCAUCUGAAUCAAGUAAGGCUUCCUUAGCCUCCCUAUUCAACAUCUUAUCUUAAAUUAACCUCCAUCUAACAUCGUCAAACUAAUGAGCUUGAAUCUGCUUCAUCAAAGAAGAUUUAGCCUCCACAGAGGCCAAAACACGCCCAGGUGUCAAAAUAUCAAGCCUAACUAUUUGGUUAGCUAAAGAAUGACCCUCUAAGGCUAACGGCCUCUCCUG
rnacentral:lncRNA from 1 species